GCACCAGGGCCUGGUCUUGGGCUGAAAAUUUUAUCGGGAAAGGCAUGUUUCUUUGGACGGGGAAUGAUAUAAAAUCUAUUUUGUAACCUAGAACCGUGUCUAGUAUCCAAGAGUCGUUUGUAACCUGACUCCAGACAUGGAAAAAAACGAGUGAGUCUGCCCCCUAACCUUACUGGGAAAGAACGGGGAGUUGUCAUACUCACCGGAUGAAGAUCUGAAGCGAGACAUUCCUCGAUGGCCUCUCGAUCUCCAAGGUCUGCCACGUAGUGGAAAGAAAGGAGUUGAUUGUUGGGUGUCAUAUGAGGAUCUGGAGGGUUGAAAAGUGUUCCUUGGAACCUGUCUAUGCUGAAAGGAACGGCUGGAAGAACGGUUCCUUCCUCCUCCAGCCCUUCCGAAAACCUUAGGGUUGAAAGCUUUCUUCAGGGAUAACUGAGCCUUAUUAAGGGAACUAAAUAGAUUGACAUAUUUAUUAAUUUCUUUAAUAAAGGAUUCUCCGAAUAGGAGACCUUCCGCAGCUGGACCAGGUUCGGAAGUAGCU